rfam:Phytophthora infestans T30-4 supercont1.13 genomic scaffold, whole genome shotgun sequence.
CCGCUUUUAGCUCAGUGGUCGAGCGUUGGCUUUGGAAGCCACAGGUCGGUGUUUCGAACCCGCCAGGGCACA